GACGAACGCUGGCGGCGUGCUUAACACAUGCACGUCGAGCGAGCGGCGGACGGGUGAGUAAUGUCUGGGAAACUGCCUGAUGGAGGGGGGUCACUACUGGAAACGGUAGCUAAUACCGCAUACCAUCAGAAGUGCCCAGAUGGGCUUAGCUGGUAGGUGGGGUAACGGCUCACCGAGGCGACGAUCCCUAGCUGGUCUGAGAGGAUGACCCGCCACACGGGAACUGAGACACGGUACAGACUCCUACGGGAGGCAGCAGUGGGGAAUAUUGCACAAUGGGCGCAAGCCUGAUGCAGCCAUGCCGCGUGUGUGAAGAAGGCCUUCGGGUGGUAAAGCACUUUCAGCGGGGAGGCGUUACCCGCAGAAGAAGCACCGGCUAACUCCGUGCCAGCAGCCGCGGUAAUAC
rnacentral:rRNA from 1 species